CCAGACUCCUACGGGAGGCAGCAGUGGGGGAUAUUGCACAAUGGGGGGAACCCUGAUGCAGCGACGCCGCGUGGGUGAAGAAGCGCCUCGGCGCGUAAAGCCCUGUCAGCAGGGAAGAAAAUGACGGUACCUGAAGAAGAAGCCCCGGCUAACUACGUGCCAGCAGCCGCGGUAAUACGUAGGGGGCAAGCGUUAUCCGGAUUUACUGGGUGUAAAGGGAGCGUAGACGGCAAGGCAAGUCUGGGGUGAAAGCCCGUGGCUCAACCACGGGACUGCUUUGGAAACUGUGUUGCUGGAGUGCAGGAGGGGUAAGCGGAAUUCCUAGUGUAGCGGUGAAAUGCGUAGAUAUCAGGAGGAACACCGGUGGCGAAGGCGGCCUGCUGGACUGCGACUGACGUUGAGGCCCGAAAGCGUGGGGAGCAAACAGGAUUAGAUACCCCUGUA
rnacentral:rRNA from 1 species